ACUACGGGUGGCAGCAGUGGGGGAUAUUGCACAAUGGGGGAAACCCUGAUGCAGCGACGCCGCGUGGGCGAAGAAGUAUUUCGGUAUGUAAAGCCCUAUCAGCAGGGAAGAAGAAAUGACGGUACCUGCGUCAGAAGCACCGGCUAAAUACGUGCCAGCAGCCGCGGUAAUACGUCUGGUGCAAGCGGUACCCGGAUUUACUGGGUGUAAAGGGAGCGCAGGCGGCACGGCAAGCAUGAUGUGACAGCCCGCGGCCCAACCGCGGGACUGCAUUGGGAACUACCGGGCUGGAGUGCCGGAGAGGUAGGCGGAAUUCCUAGUGUAGCGGUGAAAUGCGUAGAUAUUAGGAGGAACACCAGUGGCGAAGGCGGCCUACUGGACGGUGACUGACGCUGCGGCUCGAAAGCGUGGGGAGCAAACAGGAUUAGAUACCCUUGUAGUC
rnacentral:rRNA from 1 species